rnacentral:rRNA from 1 species
GAUGAACGCUGGCGGCGUGCCUAAUACAUGCAAGUCGAGCGAACGGACGAGAAGCUUGCUUUUCUGAUGUUAGCGGCGGACGGGUGAGUAACACGUGGAUAACCGACCUAUAAGACUGGGAUAACUUCGGGAAACCGGAGCUAAUACCGGAUAAUAUUUUGAACCGCAUGGUUCAAAAGUGAAAGACGGUCUUGCUGUCACUUAUAGAUGGAUCCGCGCUGCAUUAGCUAGUUGGUAAGGUAACGGCUUACCAAGGCAACGAUGCAUAGCCGACCUGCGAGGGUGAUCGGCCACACUGGAACUGAGACACGGUCCAGACUCCUACGGGAGGCAGCAGUAGGGAAUCUUCCGCAAUGGGCGGAAGCCUGACGGAGCAACGCCGCGUGAGUGAUGAAGGUCUUCGGAUCGUAAAACUCUGUUAUUAGGGAAGAACAUAUGUGUAAGUAACUGUGCACAUCUUGACGGUACCUAAUCAGAAAGCCACGGCUAACUACGCG